UACGUAGGGUGCGAGCGUUGUCCGGAAUUAUCGGGCGUAAAGAGCUCGUAGGCGGUCUGUCGCGUCUGCUGUGAAAACCCGAGGCUCAACCUCGGGCCUGCAGUGGGUACGGGCAGACUAAAGUGCGGUAGGGGAGAAUGGAAUUCCUGGUGUAGCGGUGGAAUGCGCAGAUAUCAGGAGGAACACCGUUGGCGAAGGCAGUUCUCUGGGCCGUAACUGACGCUGAGGAGCGAAAGCGUGGGGAGCGAACAGG
rnacentral:rRNA from 1 species